GUGGGAUCUAUUGUGAGCAGAGCAACAAUAAGGAGCGUUUGUCAAGGAUUUGUUCAGGCCCAGAACUGCAUUAAGCACCUUUUGCAUGUUAUAUCAUCAAAUACUCACCCUGAUGUCACAAUGCAAUCGGAAUCGCUUCCACAGGGCCUCAUUAGAGUGAUGAGAUUUUGCUGAUGGCACCUAGUGAGGAGAAACAGCAACUCUUUCAGCCACCUGGUAAAGACAUUUGCCGGCUAGGAGUUGGGAAACUGAUACAUAGAAAGAUGGAGCAAGUGCCCAAGGAGCUUGGUGAAUAUUGAAUUAUUUAAUCUCCACAACAAGACUACAAGCAUCUACUGAAGAGGUCUGACAGAAGAGGUCUGACAUCCAGAGAAAAAGUAAUAGACCUGGCCCACCAUAGUGAUUAAUUAAAAAGGAUCAGAAUCACCUGACGUGCUUGUUUUAAAAUGCAGCUUCUGCUCCAUCGCCAGCCUUCAUUCUGAUGGAGCAGGUUUGGGUGUGGGAGGAAUCUGUUGUUUUAAGAUGCCUUCUGUGAUCAAGUGUUUGGGUCCCUGAGACUACACCUUGAGAAGCACUGGUUCACCACUCACUAGCUGCAUGGCUUGGGCAAAUCAGUUGACCUCAGGAAACCUCAGAGACUGGAUUUCACCUACAAAGAGUUUGGAAUCAAUUUGAAAAUAUAGAUCAGCUUCUUCUUGCCUGUGAUUGUUCCUGAGAUGCCAACUAAGAUGACCUAAUUCCUCUCACCUUCUUCUCUGGCACUAUGGGAUUUCUGUGUGAGUAGAACCAGUUUGUCCUCACCAAAUCACUUUUCAGUGCCGAGUUACCCAGAGACGUCAGAGUUAAGAUUCACAUGGUAGAAGGGGCUCUUGAAGUUUUUCAACAGAAAUCAUUUUUUGUUUGUUUGUUUAUUUGUUUGUUUGGAAAGCAGAAGUGAAUGUGUUUUGCAAGAAUCUGACUGGUUCCUCUAAUGGACCUCAGUAUUGAUGUCCUCACCCCACACAACGGGCAGCCAUGAGAUGAUUAGAGGUGAGAAGCAAUCAUGGUCUACUAGUUAAAGCAGAUAACCAGGCAUCACAAACUGUGAGGCCAUUUCUGCCUCCAACAACUGGCCGGCUGGGCAAGUCACCUCACCUCACUGAACCUGCUCUUUCCAGCUUCAAAAUGAGGAUAAUAGUAUUCCUCUACCCACACAGGGGUGUUAGGUAGCUUAGUUAAUUGACGUUUGCAAUAUGCUGGGAGAUAAAAGGCAGUAUGGAAGUAUAAAGUAUAUUAAAGAAGAACAAAGUAAGAUGUUAAAAGUGACUGACAAUGCAACAGAACUAAUAGAUUGGGCAACAGAACCUGGAAGAUAAUAAAGUUGCUGUAACACUAAGUCAUAAUAUCAAUACUAGUGUUUUGAAGAGCUUGUUCAAAAUAAUAUGUCUUUUGACAUACAAUAGUGAAUUUCCAAGUAUUGCAACACCUUCCUUCUUUUCAAAAUGAACACUGGCUUUUAAAAAAAAUGGGAGGUGCUUCUUUCAAUCAAGGUUAAGUCUUUCCUAUAUUUUUCCGUGAAUUGAUAUGACCUUUGUAAUACUAACCCGUGGCAUUGACAGUGCUAUUCUAAUAAUACUUUUUUUGUUUUUAUGGUGUUUGUCUUAGGUCAAAGAUCACAGACUGUCUAUCCAAGAAAAUUAGCUAGAUAAGAAUUCUUCAAUGAAUGAAUUAAAUGAUUCACGAUUUAAUGAUUGAUUUAAAAAAGUUAUUCUUUCUCAUCUCUCAGUUCAGUUCAGAAACCACUUUGACCUUUUUCUGCUUGUAGCAAUAAAAGCUGACUUGAUCAAAGUGACCUUUUUUUCCCUUUCUUCUUUUCUGUUCCUAUUUCAGAGCCAUCUGGUUUGACAGCCAUAAGAGCUGAAAUACUUUGUUUUGCAGUCUUUAGAAAUGCCCCUUAGAGGCAAAUAACCAUUUGGCAGAACCAGUAAAUACAAAGUAUAAAAGAAUAUUUCCUGCUUGUUCUUUUUAAGGUGGUGUGUAGAGGAGUCAGGAUGGGGCCAGAACACCUGCUACCUGCUUUGCAGAUUUAGAGAGGCGUUUCAGGUGGGACACACAUUUUCAGGCCCAAAGGAAUUUGAUCUCAUUUCCGUUCUAUAGCAAAUAAUGUAGUAGCAUCUUGAUAUUCAACUGUAUGUGGUGGCAACCUUGGAUAGCUUAAAAAGUUUGCAGAAAUCAUCCUUCAUACUAAACUACAUGUGUAACUACUGACUUCAAGUUCUUGGCGAACUCCCAGGCAAUCCAUCUUUCUUAUCACCUUUGCCAAUGUCCUUUAUUAAUUAAAAACACCCUGAAAAAUAAGGCUUUUGAGGGGCUGUGGGCUGAGAUCUGGGUUACAAACACAAAACACCUCACCCACUCAAAAAUGUAGUUUUGGUUGCUUGAGGUAAGAGUAUCUUGUCUUGGUGGUAUUGUAUAAAUCACAAAUUGUAUUUUGUCCAUUAUAUAUUGACCAUGUCUCGUUAAUCUUCUAUAUAAAUAUCUCAGCAUUACAGGGAUAAGGCUAAACUCAGAGAUUAAUCAUCAAACAGGAGAUAUUUGAGCUUUUUGCUUCCUUGGGUUUUGCACAGAAAAAUUGGGGAUUAGUUGGAAAAAGAAAGCCUACUGUCCUUUCAUUUAACUCACUCUGGGUAAAAGUCAGAAGAAGACACUGGAGAGACACGGAAAAUCAUACUGGAAAGGAAUGGUUUCUGGUUUGCCAUUUCUCUGGAACAGUGUGCGAUACAUUGAACUUGUUUUUUAAAUUUGCUUCAGUUAAAGUGCCUGCCGAGUUCAUGCACAAGAUCUUAAGUGUGCCAUAAGGAGUUAUUUCCAUUUUUUUCAAACAAUAAGCUAUAAAUAACACAAACAAUGACAGGAUUGGGUUGAUUUCCUCCUGAUGUACCCUGGCUAAGGGUCUUGCUCAGAAUCCUGAGGUGGACAGCAGGAUUUCUGUCUGAACUACAGGGUGAUCCAUUGCUUCUCCAAGACUAGCCAAGGAGGCAGCUUUCAGGAAGCAGGCCUCCUCUCCAGGCACUGGCUGUGGGGUUUUUGAAUUAUUUACGGUGUGAGAGGGCUCCUGGCUUUGAGCAAGGUGGAAAUGUGGCUCGUCAGGCCACAAAAGCUCAAAAUAGAUGCAGGUCUCUCUCCCUUCUUACUAUUUUAUGUACAACCAAGUUAUGCAUCCCUUCUCCCCUUGCCUAGACAUAUUUAUUGGUUUUUGUUUUUUGUUUUUUUCCUGGUGGCAAGGGACAGUAACACUUCAUUUCUACUUAUUAGGAGGUGCUGUCAGGAUGGUUCAUUUUCCCAGGGGAGGGCUUGUGUAAUGGGCGAUGCAGGAUCACAUUCAUAAAUUCGUCGUGAUUUAUCUCAGUGCUAUUACAAAUGGCAGGUGAUCAGAAAUUAGCAUUGCAUUUAAGCACAGCCACAUAACUGAAAGAUUGCUUCUGUGCAUGCUGCAUGGCUCAUGAUUUUUCCAUGUUCCUAAAGUGUGUGCC